GAGAGGGGUCCGUAGACAAUGAAGACUGCUAAUUAACACCCCCUUGGUUAAACUCCAAGGCCCACUCG
rnacentral:tRNA from 1 species